UCCUCGAAGGGAUUUCUGUACACUUGUCCAUAUAAAUUCAUAUUGAAGUAUUGACAUAAAAUAAAAAGUGCACUGAAGUCAUAAGGAAGGAAAUCAUUUCUCAUUAAUAUUUAAGUUCAUUUACAAAUAAGGAAAUAACAUAAAAUUUUUACAAAUAUUCAUAAUAAGACCGAAGACAAUCCAUAAGCUGGUGCUUCAUGCAGCGCCAUCAUCAUCCGAAGAGUCCAGCAGGUAAGGAUCUAGGUUAGCCUUGAUCA
rnacentral:lncRNA from 1 species